UCAUCCUUUCGUGUUCAAUUG
rnacentral:piRNA from 1 species